GUGGGGAAUAUUGGACAAUGGGGGGAACCCUGAUCCAGCCAUGCCGCGUGUGUGAAGAAGGCCUUUUGGUUGUAAAGCACUUUAAGCGCGGAGGAGGCUACCGAGAUUAAUACUCUUGGAUAGUGGACGUUACUCGCAGAAUAAGCACCGGCUAACUCUGUGCCAGCCGCCGCGGUAAUACAGAGGGUGCGAGCGUUAAUCGGAUUUACUGGGCGUAAAGCGUGCGUAGGCGGCUUUUUAAGUCGGAUGUGAAAUCCCCGAGCUUAACUUGGGAAUUGCAUUCGAUACUGGGAAGCUAGAGUAUGGGAGAGGAUGGUAGAAUUCCAGGUGUAGCGGUGAAAUGCGUAGAGAUCUGGAGGAAUACCGAUGGCGAAGGCAGCCAUCUGGCCUAAUACUGACGCUGAGGUACGAAAGCAUGGGGAGCAAACAGGAUUAGAUACCCUGGUAGUCC
rnacentral:rRNA from 1 species